rnacentral:rRNA from 1 species
GUGCCAGCAGCCGCGGUAAGACGAAGGGGGCUAGCGUUGUUCGGAAUUACUGGGCGUAAAGCGCGUGUAGGCGGUUAUCCAAGUCGGGUGUGAAAGCCUUGAGCUCAACUCAAGAAAUGCACUCGGUACUGGGUGACUAGAGGACCGGAGAGGAUAGUGGAAUUCCCAGUGUAGUGGUGAAAUACGUAGAGAUUGGGAAGAACACCAGUGGCGAAGGCGGCUAUCUGGACGGUUUCUGACGCUAAGACGCGAAAGCGUGGGGAGCAAACAGGAUUAGAUACCCCCGUAGUCC